GUGAAAUUCCUCAGACCUGUGGCUGGUGAGGGUUGUUAAUCCAAGAUCCAGUGCAGUUUCUGGGUGGAAUUCUGUUGUUCAUCAACAUCCCAAGGCUGCACAAGGAAUCUCAGUGAUUCGUCAGCUCCACAAAUAUUUCCCUCAGUUGUGCUGCAGAGGGAACUACUUGUGAUAUUCAGAUCCCCUGCAUCUGAAUUCCUCUCUCAGUUAAAACACGGAGCCAUUUCCCAUUUAAAUAUUUAAGUGAAGCAAUUUGAUAGCACAGGCACCAAGGACUGGCAAAUCUCUGCUAGCACGAACAGAGCAGUGACAAACACCAGUAAUACUUCAAAAGAAGGUCAGCACUGCAAACAAAUGACACUGGAGCCUUCACUGGGACGUUUGCUAAUAUAUGGUGGGACAAAAUAUCAGGGUAUGAAGUUAUUUAGCCUCUGAGUUUGACUUCAUGAUAGACAGUGGCACUGAACUCCUGGGCUUGCAGCUUGAUUGCAGACCAUAAAUAGUGCAUGUGGGCCAUACCCAAUCCACCACCUAAUGGCAUUUGUAUUGGGAAUACAGCUGGAAAUGGAGGAAACAGAGAAUUUUUUCCCCCCUUUUAUUUCUUUCUGGGGGAAGGGAGGGGAUGUUGUCGGAACAAAAUCUCUUUAUUUUGUGCAAAUUUCGCAGCUCUGCUGGAAGUCUCAAAGCCCAGCUCUCUGAUCCAUGAUUCCACGGGCUCUGCUUAAAAGAUAACAUCCUCCAAACGGGAUUAUCUUCCUGGAUAAAGCAAAGAAAGAUCUAUUUUCCAAAUCUUGCUGUGACUCAAGAAGAAGAAAGACUUGAAACCACCCAAGUGGAGGAGCAAACUCUACUCACAGCCGUCAGGUUGGGAAUAUUGCAACGAUAUUCACAGAGUUAAUCAGCAAGUUCACUUCACCUGGAUUUGAAGUUUCUGGAGCUGAAUGUUCACCUUGUUUCAGCACUUAAGGGCUGAUGAUGUUCAAAGAGUGUUAUGAACUCCGAGCUCAAGGAGAGGUAAAAGUUGUUCCUGCUGGAUUGGUCAUCCCUACAUAUAAACACCUGGAAGGAAAAGGGGAACAUCUCAGUGGAGAAGGAACCAAAGACUGGUGGCAAAUUUACUGAAUUCUGGGAAACUUUAGCCGGAGUAAUGAUGCCUUUGGAUUGCAAAAACGUGUUCUCUUCCUCAAAAAUCAGCUUUGCAC